CGUGUAGGCGGGGGAAUGUGUCGGAAGUGAAAUCGUGCGGCUUAACCGUAUCAAUGGCUUCCGAAACUGUUCCUCUUGAAUGCAGCAGAGGCAGAUGGAAUUCCAGGUGUAGCGGUGGAAUGCGUAGAUAUCUGGAAGAACACCGGUGGCGAAGGCGGUCUGCUGGGCUGUGAUUGACGCUGAGGCGCGAAAGGUGCGGGGAGCAAACAGGAUUAGAUACCCUGGUAGUCCGCACCGUAAACGAUGGUUACUAGUUGUCGGAGGAUUCCGACCCCUUCGGUAACGACGCUAACGCAUUAACGUAACCCACCGUGGGGAGUACGCUCGCAAGGGUGAA
rnacentral:rRNA from 1 species